GACGAACGCUGGCGGCGUGCCUAAUACAUGCAAGUCGAACGCUGAAGGAGGAGCUUGCUUCUCUGGAUGAGUUGCGAACGGGUGAGUAACGCGUAGGUAACCUGCCUGGUAGCGGGGGAUAACUAUUGGAAACGAUAGCUAAUACCGCAUAAGAGUAGAUGUCGCAUGACAUUUGCUUAAAAGGUGCAAUUGCAUCACUACCAGAUGGACCUGCGUUGUAUUAGCUAGUUGGUGAGGUAACGGCUCACCAAGGCAACGAUACAUAGCCGACCUGAGAGGGUGAUCGGCCACACUGGGACUGAGACACGGCCCAGACUCCUACGGGAGGCAGCAGUAGGGAAUCUUCGGCAAGGGACGGAAGUCUGACCGAGCAACGCCGCGGGAGUGAAGAAGGGUUUCGGAUCGUAAAGCUCUGUUGUAAGAGAAGAACGAGUGUGAGAGUGGAAAGUUCACACUGUGACGGUAGCUGACCAGAAAGGGACGGCUAACUACGUG
rnacentral:rRNA from 1 species